rnacentral:rRNA from 1 species
GGAUUGCCUUAGUAACUGCGAGUGAAGCGGCAAGAGCUCAAAUUUGAAAUCUGGCACCUUCGGUGUCCGAGUUGUAAUUUGUAGAAGCAUCUUUUGGAUUGGUCCUUGCAUAUGUUCCUUGGAACAGGACAUCAUAGAGGGUGAGAAUCCCGUUCAUGGUGGGGAAUCCAAUUCUUUGUAAAGUGCUUUCGAAGAGUCGAGUUGUUUGGGAAUGCAGCUCUAAGUGGGUGGUAAAUUCCAUCUAAAGCUAAAUAUUGGCGAGAGACCGAUAGCGAACAAGUACAGUGAUGGAAAGAUGAAAAGAACUCCGAAAGGAGAGUGAAAAAGGACGUGAAAUUGUUGAAAGGGAAGUGCUUGAGAUCAGUCUUAAGGUUUAGUGAUCAGUCUUCCUUUUGGUUGGUGCACUCACUAUUUCUUAGGCCAACAUCAGUUUUCGCGGCAGGAUAAUGACAUUGGAAUGUGGCUCUUUCGGGAGUGUUAUAGCCUUUGUUGAUACUGCCUGCUUAGACUGAGGACCGCGCUUUUGCUAGGAUGUUGGCAUAAUGAUCUUAAGC